rnacentral:tRNA from 1 species
ACCCGCCCCGCCCGCGUGGGCGCGGCUUCCCGGCCACAGGCUCGGGCGCCGUCGCCAACCUGGACGCCUGGACGGCGGCGGCCCCGGCGCUGCAGCCGAGCGAGGCUGUGGGAGCGGCUCACAGGAUCGUUUAGGACGCUCGACGUCGACAGCACUUGCCGAGAUCACGAGUGACCCGACAGCGGCCGCGCACCUCGCACGGUGCGGCCCGUGCGGGCCUGUAGGAGUUCGUUAGGAAUCGGGGAGGGCCUUAGCUGCGCACACGGAGGACGCGGCCACGAGCUCACUGCGACCCGCACAACCCUGAGGCGGCGCCCAGCGCGCCUACGCAGGUAGCGUGGCCGAGCGGUCUAAGGCGCUGGAUUAAGGCUCCAGUCUCUUCGGGGGCGUGGGUUCGAAUCCCACCGCUGCCAAGCCUAUUGCAGGUUGACACAAACUGGGAGCAGGACUCUCGAAAGCCUGCAGCAGGAACUCCAGAACGGCCCCAUCUUAUAAUAAAUAGGUGAAAGACAGCUGUGGUCUUUAAAGGGAACCUUUCUUUAAAGUUGUAUCCAAGGGGACAUUUUUAAAAUGUUUUCCACAGAAAUAGGUGGAACACACGGCUCGAAGUCAGCACGGUGAAUCCACUCAGCGGUCCGCGGUCCACACGGCUCGGCCGAGAGCUUCCUGGCAGCGCAGUUGCUGAAUCAAAUCCUGCGCGUGAGGGCUUCAGCCCCCUUCUGAGCGGCGACUCCCUCCCCCUCCCGCUGUGCCAGAAGUGUGCUUCCUCAGCACCCUGCCCGGCGCAGAGCACCGUAACAGGGACAGUUAUAUCCCACUGCGGCCCAGAGACUGGCGGAAGUUCUUUGCAUUGUCACAGCACACGCUCGGCAAUGCACGAGAAAACCCGCAUCAGUCUCCGUUUACAGAGCAGAAAAUGAGCUGCGAUCGCCCCUUGGAUUGAAGGUGGAGGAACAGAUGUCAGUGCCUGCGGCGGGCUGAAAAUGCCCCUUCCUCCAGGCACCUACAUUCCGGCUCUGGCUCCCGGAACCGUGAAUAUUACCGUACGUGGCAAAGCAAAAGAAAGCUAAACUGGAGCCGGACCCCGAGGUGGGACUGCUGGACCUGAACCUCGCGGGAAGCGUCGGUCAGAGGCGCAGCCUGGCUCACCCAGCCCCGCCGGGCAGGACAGGGUCCAGGCCUCAGGCACAGCCCUCUCCGCGGGGGUGGAGGCCAGCGCCGGGAUUCUGGACUUCCGGCCUCUAAAAUAUGAGUAAACAUAUUUCUUUUGCUUUAAGACAGCAAUUUUGUGGCAAUUUUUUAUAGAAGCCCCAGGACGGUAAUGCAACAUCUUU